GACGAACGCUGGCGGCGUGCCUAAUACAUGCAAGUUGAGCGCUGAAGGUUGGUACUUGUACCAACUGGAUGAGCAGCGAACGGGUGAGUAACGCGUGGGUAAUCUGCCUUUGAGCGGGGGACAACAUUUGGAAACGAAUGCUAAUACCGCAUAAAAACUUUAAACACAAGUUUUAAGUUUGAAAGAUGCAAUUGCAUCACUCAAAGAUGAUCCCGCGGUGUCUUAGCUAGUUUGUGAGGUAAAGGCUCACCAAGGCGAUGAUACAAAGGCGACCUGAGAGGGGGAUUCGGCACAAUGGGAAUGAGACACGGCCCAAACUCCCACGGGAGGGAGCAGUAAGGAAACCUCGGCAAUGGACGGAAGUCUGACCGGGCAAAGCCGGGUGAGUGGAUGAGGUUUUCGGAUCGUAAAAAUCUGUUUGUAGGGAAGAACGUUAGGGGGAGGGGAAAGUGCACCAAGUGACGGUAACUACUCAGAAAGCGACGGCUAACUACGUG
rnacentral:rRNA from 1 species